ACGAAGUUAGCCGGGGCUUCUUAUCCAGGUACCGUCAUUAUCGUCCCUGGCGAAAGAGCUUUACGACCCUAAGGCCUUCAUCACUCACGCGGCAUGGCUGGAUCAGGCUUGCGCCCAUUGUCCAAUAUUCCCC
rnacentral:rRNA from 1 species